rnacentral:rRNA from 1 species
AAUAGCGUAUAUUAAAGUUGUUGCAGUUAAAAAGCUCGUAGUUGGAUUUCUGGUGGGAGGGAUCGGUCCAGCACUCAGUGUUGGAACUUGUAUCCUCUCCGGCCAUCCUUGGGUGGAUCUUGUCUGGCAUUAAGUUGUCAGUCAGGGGAUGCCCAUCGUUUACUGUGAAAAAAUUAGAGUGUUCAAAGCAGGCUUAUGCCAUUGAAUAUAUUAGCAUGGAAUAAUAAGAUAGGGCCCUGGUGCUAUUUUGUUGGUUUGCGUACCGAGGUAAUGAUUAAUAGGGACAGUUGGGGGUAUUUGUAUUCAGUAUUCAGUGGUGAAAUACUUAGACCUACGGAAGACAAACUACUGCGAAAGCAUUUACCAAGGAUGUUUUCAUUAAUCAAGAACGAAAGUAUGGGGAUCGAAGAUGAUUAGAUA